UACAGAGGGUGCAAACGUUGUUCGGAAUUACUGGGCGUAAAGCGUGUGUAGGCGGUGAGGUAAGUCGGAUGUGAAAGCCCAGGGCUCAACCCUGGAAGUGCACUCGAUACUGCUUCGCUUGAGUACUGGAGAGGUUGGUGGAAUUCUCGGUGUAGAGGUGAAAUUCGUAGAUAUCGAGAGGAACAUCUGUGGCGAAGGCGGCCAACUGGACAGAUACUGACGCUGAGACACGAAAGUGUGGGGAGCAAACAGG
rnacentral:rRNA from 1 species